CCUACGGGUGGCAGCAGUGGGGGAUAUUGGACAAUGGGGGGAACCCUGAUCCAGCGACGCCGCGUGAGUGAAGAAGUAUCUCGGUAUGUAAAGCUCUUUUAGCAGGGAAGAAAGAAAUGACGGUACCUGACCAAGAAGCCCCGGCUAACUACGUGCCAGCAGCCGCGGUAAUACGUAGGGGGCAAGCGUUAUCCGGAUUUACUGGGUGUAAAGGGAGCGUAGACGGUGAAGUAAGUCUGGAGUGAAAGGCCGGGGCUCAACCCCGGAACUGCGUUGGAAACUAUUGAACUUGAGUGCAGGAGAGGUAGGCGGAAUUCGUGGUGUAGCGGUGAAAUGCGUAGAUAUUAGGAGGAACACCAGUGGCGAAGGCAGCUUACUGGACUGUAACUGACGUUGAGGCUCGAAAGCGUGGGGAGCAAACAGGAUUAGAUACCCGUGUAGUC
rnacentral:rRNA from 1 species